AUAUGCAUUAGCUUCUCUGUAGUCUAUCUCAUCAGAACUCCACAGUUAAGCGUGCUUGACCUGGAGUAGUAAUGGGAUGGGUGACCUUCUGGGAAGUUUCUCAGAAAAGGUGCAAAAA
rnacentral:rRNA from 1 species